AUUGAACGCUGGCGGCAGGCCUAACACAUGCAAGUCGAGCGGAUGAAGAGAGCUUGCUCUCUGAUUCAGCGGCGGACGGGUGAGUAAUGCCUAGGAAUCUGCCUGGUAGUGGGGGACAACGUUUCGAAAGGAACGCUAACACCGCAUACGUCCUACGGGAGAAAGCAGGGGACCUUCGGGCCUUGCGCUAUCAGAUGAGCCUAGGUCGGAUUAGCUAGUUGGUGGGGUAAUGGCCCACCAAGGCGACGAUCCGUACCUGGUCUGAGAGGAUGAUCAGUCACACUGGAACUGAGACACGGUCCAGACUCCUACGGGAGGCAGCAGUGGGGAAUAUUGGACAAUGGGCGAAAGCCUGAUCCAGCCAUGCCGCGUGUGUGAAGAAGGUCUUCGGAUUGUAAAGCACUUUAAGUUGGGAGGAAGGGCAUUAACCUAAUACGUUAGUGUUUUGACGUUACCAACAGAAUAAGCACCGGCUAACUUCGUGCCAGCAGCCGCGGUAA
rnacentral:rRNA from 1 species